rnacentral:rRNA from 1 species
UACGUAGGGUGCAAGCGUUAAUCGGAAUUACUGGGCGUAAAGAGUGCGUAGGCGGUUCUUGAAGUCCGCUGUGAAAGCCCCGGGCUUAACCUGGGAAUGGCAGUGGAAACUGGAGGACUUGAAUUGAGCAGAGGGGGGUGGAAUGCCGCGUGUAGCAGUGAAAUGCGUAGAGAUGCGGCGGAACACCGAUGGCGAAGGCAGCCCCCUGGGCUUAAAUUGACGCUGAGGCACGAAAGCGUGGGGAGCAAACAGG